rnacentral:rRNA from 1 species
GAUGAACGCUGGCGGCGUGCCUAAUACAUGCAAGUCGAGCGAACAGACGAGGAGCUUGCUCCUCUGACGUUAGCGGCGGACGGGUGAGUAACACGUGGAUAACCUACCUAUAAGACUGGGAUAACUUCGGGAAACCGGAGCUAAUACCGGAUAAUAUAUUGAACCGCAUGGUUCAAUAGUGAAAGACGGUUUUGCUGUCACUUAUAGAUGGAUCCGCGCCGCAUUAGCUAGUUGGUAAGGUAACGGCUUACCAAGGCAACGAUGCGUAGCCGACCUGAGAGGGUGAUCGGCCACACUGGAACUGAGACACGGUCCAGACUCCUACGGGAGGCAGCAGUAGGGAAUCUUCCGCAAUGGGCGAAAGCCUGACGGAGCAACGCCGCGUGAAUGAUGAAGGUCUUCGGAUCGUAAAACUCUGUUAUUAGGGAAGAACAAAUGUGUAAGUAACUAUGCACGUCUUGACGGUACCUAAGCAGAAAGCCACGGCUAACUACGU